rnacentral:rRNA from 1 species
UAUGACGGGUAUCCGGCCUGAGAGGGUGAUCGGACACACUGGAACUGAGACACGGUCCAGACUCCUACGGGAGGCAGCAGUAGGGAAUAUUGCUCAAUGGGCGAAAGCCUGAAGCAGCAACGCCGCGUGGAGGAUGAAGGUUUUAGGAUUGUAAACUCCUUUUGUUAGAGAAGAUAAUGACGGUAUCUAACGAAUAAGCACCGGCUAACUCCGUGCCAGCAGCCGCGGUAAUGCGGAGGGUGCAAGCGUUACUCGGAAUCACUGGGCGUAAAGAGCGCGUAGGCGGGAUAGUAAGUCAGGUGUGAAAUCCUAUGGCUUAACCAUAGAACUGCAUUUGAAACUACUAUUCUAGAGUGUGGGAGAGGUAGGUGGAAU